AACAAAAAACACAAAAC
rnacentral:sRNA from 1 species